rnacentral:miRNA from 1 species
GCGUGGGGUGGUGGACUCAGG